rnacentral:tRNA from 1 species
GGCUUCAUAGCUCAGUUGGUAGAACUUGACGCACUAGUAACGCGAAGGUCAUGGGUUCAAAACCCGUUGAAGCCA